rnacentral:rRNA from 1 species
CCCUUAGAUGUCCGGGGCCGCACGCGCGCUACACUGAAGGAAUCAGCGUGGCUUUCUCCCUGACCCGAAAGGGUUGGGAAACCCGUUGAAUCUCCUUCGUGAUAGGGAUUGGGGCUUGAAAUUGUUCCCCAUGAACGAGGAAUUCCCAGUAAGCGCGAGUCAUAAGCUCGCGUUGAUUACGUCCCUGCCCUUUGUACACAACGCCCGUCGCUACUACCGAUUGAACGGUUUAGUGAGGGCCUCGGAUUGGUCUCGGCCCGCUCUUUACCGGGCGGCGCCGUUGGUCGAGAAGACGCUCGAACUUGAUCGUUUAGAGGAAGUAAAAGUCGUAACA